rnacentral:rRNA from 1 species
GGUGAUUACACCUGGUGGAUGAGUGGCGAACGGGUGAGUAAUACGUGGGUGACCUUCCUUGGACUCUGGGAUAAGCCCGGGAAACUGGGUCUAAUACCGGAUACGACCAGUCCUCGCAUGGGGUGCUGGUGGAAAGGGUUUGUACUGGUUCUUGAUGGGCUCACGUCCUAUCAGCUUGUUGGUGAGGUAAUGGCUUACCAAGGCGACGACGGGUAGCCGGCCUGAGAGGGUGACCGGCCACACUGGGACUGAGACACGGCCCAGACUCCUACGGGAGGCAGCAGUGGGGAAUAUUGCACAAUGGGCGCAAGCCUGAUGCAGCGACGCCGCGUGGGGGAUGACGGCCUUCGGGUUGUAAACCUCUUUCAGCAGGGAAGAAGCGAAAGUGACGGUACCUGCAGAAGAAGCGCCGGCUAACUACGUGCCAGCAGCCGCGGUAAUACGUAGGGCGCAAGCGUUGUCCGGAAUUAUUGGGCGUAAAGAGCUCGUAGGCGGUUUGUCGCGUCUGCUGUGAAAGCCCGGGGCUCAACCCCGGGUGUGCAGUGGGUACGGGCAGGCUGGAGUGCAGUAGGGGAGACCGCAAUUCCUGGUGUAGCGGUGAA